GGACUACCAGGGUAUCUAAUCCUGUUUGCUACCCACGCUUUCGUGUCUCAGCGUCAGUUACGGUCCAGUGAGCCGUCUACACCGCCGGUGUUCCUCCUGAUAUCUACGCAUUUCACCGCUACACCAGGAAUUCCACUCACCUCUCCCGCACUCUAGUCAUUCAGUAUUCGGCGCACCCUCCCAGUUAAGCCGGGAGAUUUCACACCAAACUUAAACAACCGCCUACACACCCUUUACGCCCAGUAACUCCGAACAACGCUCGCUGCCUACGUAUUACCGCGGCGGCUGGCAC
rnacentral:rRNA from 1 species